rnacentral:rRNA from 1 species
UAAUACGUAGGGGGCAAGCGUUGUCCGGAUUUAUUGGGCGUAAAGAGCGCGUAGGCGGCCAAAUAGGUCGGUUGUGAAAACUGGAGGCUUAACCUCCAGACGUCGACCGAAACCAUCUGGCUAGAGUCCGGAAGAGGAGAGUGGAAUUCCUGGUGUAGCGGUGAAAUGCGCAGAUAUCAGGAAGAACACCCGUGGCGAAGGCG